CAACUGAGGAUGUUUGUCUCUCAAGAACAGGUGAAAAUGUGAAAAAUAUAUUUGAUCAAAAUAAUUAUAUCCUCUCAUCCAUCUCUGCAGAUAAACGAGGAUGUUUCCACUGUUCACGCCAAACAGUUUCUCAACAUCUCUCUGAACGUUCCCGCCCUCUUUUACCCGCGCUCCGGCUCUGCCCUCCUCAGAGAGUGUGUCUGAAAAACUGAGGCUCAGGAGACUGGAUUCCUCGGCGUCCUGAAGGUGUGAGAUUGGACGGCUGUGAUUCGCACCCUUCCCACCUCGCAGCAGGAACGAUAAUUGCCAGAUACUGUGAACCCAAUAUUCCCUGUGCUUCAGCUGGCCAAUGAGAGACGUGUGUGUGGACACAAGAGAAACAAUCGAUAGAGGAAUAGGAUACUCCAGUUUUUCACUACAAGCAGAGAGGAGCUUACGUAACGCUCAAACGCUCACGUCUCGCAUGGAGCAGCUGCGUCUCUUCGGGUCGAGACAGUAACGUGUGUGUGGACAGAUACGAGAUCUGAAACCACGGCAACAGCUGAGCUGAGGAGAGCAGCUGUGUUUUGUUUUUGCUUCGUAAGGAUUGGUGAUGUUCUGCACAUCGUGACAUGACAGCGCUACAGCACACGAUGAUGUCACUCGCCAUCGCUCGGUGUGUCGAGCGCGGAUGAUGUCAUUGGAAUGUUUUCAUGUGAUUGACGUGGAGUGGAGCAAAGCCUUCAAAAGCAUGAUGUGUUUUACCUCCAAUCAUAGUUUUUGUGGUUUUAUCAUAUAGUGUCAUAUUAUUACAAUUUCUGCACUACUUGCAGGUGAGAAGCUGGCCAUUUUCUCCUCAGUAUGAGUGGAGAAAUUUGUGUUUAAUGAUCCUACAAGUUCAAUUAAACCAUGACAAUAUGAGGCAAAUAUUUGAUAUUUAUAAAUAUGUUAAAUAUGAGGACACAACAAAACACUAAACCUGGUUAAGGUAUUUAUUUUACAAAAUUAUUUGGCAAUUGUAGGUUUUAUUUUACUAUGCAAAUUAUUGCAAAGUAUUAUGCUAUUCCCUCUUUCUCUCUCUCAAACACACACACACACACACACACACACACACACACAUCUGUUUUGCAUGCACUAAGUCUCCUCCCAAUAUGCAAAUUACCGUUUUAUUGUUUGUUCUGCAAUGGCUGAUGUACAGGAUACACUUCUUCUGAAUUAUUAACGUUACACAUACAGUAUCUGUGCAGCUGUUUGUAUAUAAAAGCAUCGCUCAGAUGCACAUAUAGCCAGAGAAAUAUGCAUUAUUGUUCAUCACUGAACAUCAGACUUUGAUAUUUUCUCAUGGAUCUCAAGGGCUUGUUAGUGAAUUGCAUCUGAAGCCAACUAUAAUUAUGAAAAUACUAAACACAGCCCUGUUUGGACUCAAGGCACGAAUGAUCAUUGAUAAAUGUCAUGUUUGUUUUUGAAAGCAUCUUAUGCACUUUUGUAGCGUUCAGCCAUAGUAAAUUAAUUUCAGAUCGUUUACAGUUCAUUUUUGAACUGUUAUUGAUAAUAAUUUAUCAACACAUAUCAAUACAUUUAUCAUUAUUUGUUCAUAAUAUGUGAUAAAAAAGUUGUGAUUUGACUUUUUGUCAUAAUGUCGACUUUUUAAAGUCAUUAUGACUUAGUAUGUAAUGUAAUAAACUUUAUAUCAUAAUUAUGACUUUUUAUCUCUUAAUGUCUGUCAUAAUUUUGACAUUUCAUCUCAAAAUAUUACUUUUUAUUUCGUAAUUAUGACUUUUUGUCAUAA